GUGCCAGCCGCCGCGGUAAUACGUAGGGUGCAAGCGUUGUCCGGAAUUAUUGGGCGUAAAGAGCUCGUAGGCGGCUUGUCGCGUCGGCUGUGAAAACCUGGGGCUCAACCCCGGGCCUGCAGCCGAUACGGGCAAGCUAGAAUUCGGUAGGGGAGACUGGAAUUCCUGGUGUAGCGGUGAAAUGCGCAGAUAUCAGGAGGAACACCGGUGGCGAAGGCGGGUCUCUGGGCCGAUAUUGACGCUGAGGAGCGAAAGCGUGGGGAGCGAACAGGAUUAGAUACCCUUGUAGUCC
rnacentral:rRNA from 1 species